GAUGAACGCUGGCGGCGUGCCUAAUACAUGCAAGUCGAGCGAACAGACGAGGAGCUUGCUCCUCUGACGUUAGCGGCGGACGGGUGAGUAACACGUGGAUAACCUCCCUAUAAGACUGGGAUAACUUCGGGAAACCGGAGCUAAUACCGGAUAAUAUAUUGAACCGCAUGGUUCAAUAGUGAAAGACGGUUUUGCUGUCACUUAUAGAUGGAUCCGCGCCGCAUUAGCUAGUUGGUAAGGUAACGGCUUACCAAGGCAACGAUGCGUAGCAGACCUGAGAGGGUGAUCGGCCACACGGGAACUGAGACACGGUCCAGACUCCUACGGGAGGCAGCAGUAGGGAAUCUUCCGCAAUGGGCGAAAGCCUGACGGAGCAACGCCGCGUGAGUGAUGAAGGUCUUCGGAUCGUAAAACUCUGUUAUUAGGGAAGAACAAAUGUGUAAGUAACUAUGCACGUCUUGACGGUACCUAAUCAGAAAGCCACGGCUAACUACGUG
rnacentral:rRNA from 1 species